UUAUUAAAAAUGAAGUGACAUCAACAUUUAAUGGCCCAAAAAGUUUAGACGUGACUCUUGUCAUAAUUAAUGCAAAAUCAUCAUUACAUGUUAUAAUAUAAUA
rnacentral:sRNA from 1 species